rnacentral:rRNA from 1 species
UACGGAAGGCAGCAGUGGGGAAUAUUGCACAAUGGGCGAAAGCCUGAUGCAGCUAUGCCGCGUGUAUGAAGAAGGCCUUAGGGUUGUAAAGUACUUUCAUCGGGGAGGAAAAAACAAAACUAAUAAUUUUAUUUCUUGACGUUACCCGAAAAAGAAGCACCGGCUAACUCCGUGCCAGCAGCCGCGGUAAUACGGAGGGUGCUAGCGUUAAUCAGAAUUACUGGGCGUAAAGAGCACGUAGGUGGUUUUUUAAGUCAGAUGUGAAAUCCCUGGGCUUAACCUAGGAACUGCAUUUUGAAACUGAAAUACUAGAGUAUCGUAGAGGGAGGUAGAAUUCUAGGUGUAGCGGUGAAAUGCGUAGAUAUCUGGAGGAAUACCUGUGGCGAAAGCGGCCUCCUAAACGAAUACUGACACUGAGGUGCAAAAGGCGUGGGGAGCAAACAGGGAUUAGAUACC